rnacentral:rRNA from 1 species
GGGGAAUAUUGCGCAAUGGGCGAAAGCCUGACGCAGCCACGCCGCGUGUGUGAUGAAGGCCCUCGGGUCGUAAAGCACUGUCGGGAGGAAAGAAGUUCUGACGGUACCUCCCAAGAAAGCACCGGCUAACUCCGUGCCAGCAGCCGCGGUAAUACGGAGGGUGCAAGCGUUGCUCGGAAUCACUGGGCGUAAAGCGUACGCAGGCGGCGCGUUAAGUCGGGUGUGAAAGCCCGGGGCUCAACCCCGGAAUUGCAUUCGAUACUGGCGUGCUGGAGUGCGGGAGAGGGAAGCGGAAUUUCUGGUGUAGAGGUGAAAUUCGUAGAUAUCAGGAGGAACAUCAGUGGCGAAAGCGGCUUCCUGGCCCGAUACUGACGCUCAUGUACGAAAGCGUGGGGAGCAAAC